rnacentral:rRNA from 1 species
AACGAACGCUGGCGGCAUGCCUAACACAUGCAAGUCGAACGAGACCUUCGGGUCUAGUGGCGCACGGGUGCGUAACGCGUGGGAACCUGCCCUUAGGUUCGGAAUAACUCCCCGAAAGGGGUGCUAAUACCGGAUAAUGUCUUCGGACCAAAGAUUUAUCGCCUUUGGAUGGGCCCGCGUUGGAUUAGCUAGUUGGUAGGGUAAAAGCCUACCAAGGCGACGAUCCAUAGCUGGUCUGAGAGGAUGAUCAGCCACACUGGGACUGAGACACGGCCGAGACUCCUACGGGAGGCAGCAGUGGGGAAUAUUGGACAAUGGGCGAAAGCCUGAUCCAGCAAUGCCGCGUGAGUGAUGAAGGCCUUAGGGUUGUAAAGCUCUUUUACCUGGGAUGAUAAUGACAGUACCGGGAGAAUAAGCUCCGGCUAACUCCGUG